CUCUGUGUUUAAACAGUAUGGAGCUAUACUCCAUUUAGAAAGGAUGUUUAUUUCACAGCCUCUGUUGUGGGGAAGUAUGUAAGGUAAUUUGGAACUCAGUUUCCAGCGGGACCUGUCGAGGUGGAAGUCCUACACCUUGCAGCAGCAUCAGAGCACCUUCCAGACACCCUCCCCCUGGCCCCUACACGCCUGACUGGAAACAUAAUCCUGGCUCCAUAAGGUGUGGGCUUAUUUUAUUUCUCAGAGCAUAGUUCAGCCCAUUUCUGAGAAGAUGCUGCACACAAUUCCAUUGUCUGGAUGCUCUAGUAAUGUGCCUGUUACUGGCUAUCACUUGAGGACUAAGCAAUUGUGAGCACUUGCCACCACCCAGCUGGUGGGGACACUGGAAUACCUGGGGAAGAGGAGUGCACAGGCACCCUGCCACAUCCUCCCCUCCUGAUGCCCAGGUGUGCCCCAGCCAGUCUCAGGUCCCCUGGGGCCCAAGGCAUAGCAGGGCAGUAACGCCUCUGAGUAAUGCGGGUCUCAUGCCGUGUCCUGAAGGAACACACCUGAGAUACGGCCGACUGGAGUGCGUUGCACAUUUGCUUCUUUUUAGUCACCAGGAAGGAGUAAAUUAUGAGGGAGGGUCGGAGUUCUGCAGAGCACCGAGGGCCACAUGGGGAAGGCGUUCUUGUUUCUAGAGGCCGCUUUAACCAGACCCACUUGGGGGCCCCGUGGCGAUUUAUUUCCAUACAUCGCGGCAGGCUCACCUUCAAAGGAGUUUUAUGAUGUUGAAACAACCAGUCUGACAAAAAGACAUUGUAAUCUGUGGACUACUUUUUGUCACUUUAACCAAUUACAAUUUUAUGUAGCUAGAUCUUCAUCAGUAAUUUUCUUAGAGUUUGAAAGACAAAAUGCCACAUCCGUUUACCGGGCCUCGUUUUAUGCCGUGAUUCUCUUGCUGUCUUCGAAGGCACUGUCAUCAUUCUGUCUUCUAGAUGAUCUUAGAAUUCAUGUAAUUGUCGGGGGCUUCCCCAAACAUAGUGGCUGGCAGUGAGUUGCCAUAGCUGACACAUUCCGGGAAUCCUCAUUAGCUGGGAAAGGUGGACGAUGUUUGUCUUCCACAUUCCAGUGCCGGGGAGAAAGCUCCUUUUCAGAGAGAGCGGACCUGGCAUGCUUGCACCGCAGCCACGUCACCCCGGGCCGUUCAACAAAGCAAGCGGCCCGUGCACCGGGGUCCAGGCUGAUCACCGGCGGCCGGCCGCCUGGAAGGGGGCGCUGGGCCAGUCUCUGUGGGCUUGGGUGUGGUCAGCCUGUCCCCAGCUCCUGGGUUCGGAAGGUAUUUUGGAAUUUUGGUGAUAGCUGAACUGCUUCUUACCAGCUGGGAGAGGGAUCUGAGGGCGUGCUGAGGAAGACCCGAUGGAGAGCUCCGCUCACAGCGAUGCCAUUAGGUUCUCACCGCCGCCACCAGACGCAGUGGAACACACACAUUCACAAUCGUGAUGCCAUCGGAGCCCAGGGCCUUGUCCGCACGUGGCAGCACAGCACGGCAGAGGCUGCAGGGCUGAAGCCUGCGCAGCGGCGCUGGUGUCCGAAGGCGCAGGGGAAGGGCAGCCCCUCU
rnacentral:lncRNA from 1 species